GACGAAGGGGGCUAGCGUUGUUCGGAAUUACUGGGCGUAAAGCGAGUGUAGGUGGUUGUCCUAGUCAGGUGUGAAAGCCUUGAGCUCAACUCAAGAAAUGCACUUGAUACUGGGCGACUAGAGGACCGGAGAGGAUAGUGGAAUUCCCAGUGUAGUGGUGAAAUACGUAGAGAUUGGGAAGAACACCAGUGGCGAAGGCGGCUAUCUGGACGGUUUCUGACACUAAGACUCGAAAGCGUGGGGAGCAAACAGG
rnacentral:rRNA from 1 species